GCGAUGAUAGCUCAGUUGGGAGAGCGUCAGACUGAAGACUUCAGUCUCCUGAAGGUCCCCGGUUCAAACCCGGGUCGUCGCA